AGUUCGAGCCAAUGAACAGCGCGACCGUGGGUGCCGCCUUGCCACCGCAGUCCCCGAGGGCCAACCGGGAUGCGCAGGAGUCGUUAGGCGGGACGCGCCCGUUGCUGGGAGGCCGGCUGCUGAGGCUCCUUGGGAAGGAAGUCACGUGGCUGAGCGCCGCGCUUCCCGCGGAGCCCCCGCCUCUUCUCAGCCCCGCCCUACCGAGCUGCCAACGCGGAGGAGCCGCCGCCUGCAGGUCUGAGGACUCCUACAGCUUUGGCAGAAUUCUGAAGAGUAGAAAUUAUCAAAGGAGGAGAUAAACUGAUCCGCCGCCUCCUUGUUACAGAAAAUGAGGUCGGGAGAGAAGUGAGGGUAUCCUUAAUGACAAAAUCCCUUCCUUCACUUACUGACUUCAUCUCUUAAUAACUUGGAAAUCUCUCCCACGUUUGUCUUCUCAUAUAACUAAGAGACUACUUCCUGAAGGAGCUGGUAUUUGGGGCGAGCAUGGAAAGAUCAGGAUUCCGACAGGCAGGCGAAGUAGGGCGUUUGGUGCGGAGGCAACGCUUUCAAACUCGAAGACAGUCCUCCUUACUGAUAACUUUUCUCUCAGUAGCUUUCACCGGUUCAAAGAAGUUAGGGUUGUGAAAAUCAGCCUCACUUCCUUAUUUGCCACACCAGCCCACUGGUCCACAGUUGGUUCUAGGAGCCCUCCAAGAUAUGCAUCAUCUGAUCCGACGAGGCAGUUCCCCAGGUGUACUGUGCUGUCCCAGGUUCCUGGACCCCAGCUACUUCAUGCUGCUUCCUUCACAGAAAAAAUAACUUCCAAGACAUGCCUUGUACCCACCACCCAGUCCCGAGAGGAGGAGGCUGGCAGGCAGAUCCCAGUCCCACAGCCUUCCCUCUGCCACACACAACACAGGAGCAAAGGCUCGUUCUUCAAAAGAAGCGUGGCUGGUGGUGCUUCAGGUUCUGAGAGCUCUGGCUCAUGAGAAGAUAAACUACUUUCAAAAAGGAAACAGGAAACAUGUAUAAAGGAAAAAUUAAGUAAAUAUUGGUGAGACUGUGCAGUCAGAGGUUUACGCAAGCUAUUAGUAGGAGCACAGAACUUUUCUGGACAUUUUGGCAAUAUGUAUCAAAAAGCUAAAUAGGUGUAUCUUUUCAAUUUAUCUGAAAAGACAAGACACAUACACAUAUGCAUGUUUGCUGCAGUGCUGUUCCUAGAGGAAGAAAGGAUAUAGCCUAAGUUUUUCACUAGUACAUUGGUUGAAUAAAUCACAAUAUAUCCAUACAAUAGAAUACCAUGUAAGUUAUUCAUUCUGUUAUUCGUUUGGGGGCAGGGGGUGGAAAUAAAUUCAGUGCUACCAAUGAGUAUAUGUUUUGCUUCAUUCCUUUAUGUAGUAUCU